UUGAUUGGUAUUAUCUUUGAAACAUGGUCUCCACUAAAGUUGUUGAACUUAACUUAGUAGAAGCACAUGGGAUUCAGCUGUAUCUGAAAGGGUUCGUUAUCUAUUAGCCCUGAUAUCUAUUAUAUAUGAUUAUCUGCCAUAAUUUGGAAAAGGAGGGUUCAUGUGUUGGUUUUUCACGAGAAAGAUGCAAUCGAUUGGCUUCUAACUGGGAAAACAUACAAGGAAAGCCUUCUUUUUGUCAGCGCUUGCUUUUGCAAAAUUAAACAACAAAGUGAUAUUGAUGAGGACAACAAAAAAUAAUAAAUUGCUAGAUGAGGGUAUUUUGGUAGUUGCAGACUCUAAUAAAGAGCUGCAUGGUUCGUACAAGGAUUGGUAGGUCAAGGGUCAUCCAUGGAAGUUUGGUAGUUAAAGGGUCAUCAUGAAUUUAGUGCUUGCAUUAGAAUUCAUCAAGCACUAAAUUCAUCUAGAUUCAUUAAACAAAUGUUACAAACUUCAAUGUAUGCAUUAAGCACAUUUUAGUUCUUUGCAUCUUAUUGUUAGUAGGUUCAAUGUAUGCAUUUAUGUCUACUAUUGUCCAAUUUCAUUCAUUAUCUUGUUAAAUGUGUUCAUUGAUUAGGUUCAUGUCACUUAGACUUCUAGGACUUUAAAAGGCCAUUGUUUAGCCUAUAAGUAUGGAUGUAAUCUUUCUUUUCGUUGAUUAAUGAAUUGAGUUUUACGAGGCUGAGACCAUUGUAAUUGGGGUUUGGGCUGCGUUCCUUCCUUGCAGAAACCACUAACCCUUGCGAGGGUGAGGCUAUCUCUCCUUCUCUCUUCUCAUUCUCUUUGUUUUGUUUCUUCUUCUUUGCGCACUUAUCCAAGUAAUAUUCUUAUUUCCCCACCCAAAACCACCACAAUUUCAAUUGUAGGCAACAAUACUCUAAGUGUCAUAAAACCGUCCUACUCAGAUCUUUAGGGUAUUUUGUUUGGUGACCUUUUUUUAUUUGUGUUAGUCUCUUUGCUCUCUUGCCAUCACAGGCUUUGUUUUGGUUGUAUUCAUGUUUUCUGCAAGUAGCUUGCUUUAUUAUCAGUUUUCUUUUUGGUUUGUGCGUGAGGUGUCUCCUCAAGUUUUAGGUUGUCACUUGUAUCUUGUAGUUAUCCCUCCCUCCUUUCCUUCUAAUAGAAACCGACGCUCUGAAAAUUUGUAGUGUAAUUCCUGGAAUUUGUAGAUAGGAUGGAAUAGUUCCAUCCAAAGUUUUCAAAGGCAAAAGCACAAGGUAGGUUGUCACUUGUAUCUUGUAGUUAUCCCUCCCUCUUUUCCUUCUAAUAGAAACCGACGCUCUAAAAAUUUGUAGUGUAAUUCCUGGAAUUUGUAGAUAGGAUGGAAUAGUUCCAUCCAAAGUUUUCAAAGGCAAAAGCACAAGGCGAGGCUGUUGACCUCUCAUGAGGCGAGCCGUAAGCCUCAAGGCGUUGAGGCAUAAGCAUUUAGAGUUUAUUUUUUUGUUGAUAAAAAUUAAUAUUAAUUAAAAAUUCCAUAGAAAGAGGGGAUAGUUUUGCGCCAUACAAAGGUACCUCACAAAAAACAGGAAAAUAGUAGAGAAAUUUCACAAGAAAGCAUAAUCUAAGUUGCUCGAACUCGGGUACGGGAAUCAGGUGCGGGUACAUAUCUAAGGGUCAGACAUCUCAAAGUUGAAAAUAGAGGAUUCGGGGAUAUGUAUUCGAAUUUGGAUAUGGGUGUGGGGACUUGUCGAAUUUUUUUUAAUUAAUUUAUUAUUAUUUUUAUAAAUUUAAUAUGUAAAAUAAUAGAAAAUUUAUGCAAUUUAAGUAUAUGGAUUCUUUGUUUUGUGAUAAAAUGAUAAUAGAAGCCCAUAAAAAAUUAUGUAACCAACUUAAUCGCCCAAAUGUAUAAGCCCAAUAGUGGCCCAAAAAGAAUAAAUAGGUACAUUAUACAACAUAACAAGCCCAAUUGGCAGUCCAAAAGGAUAAAAUAAACCCUAAAUCAUAAAAGGAGAAAAAACAGCCACGUUCUUCUUCGAUUGUCUUCCACGCCAAACUUCUGCCAUGCUUCCACGAUCGUCUUCCACAAUGAUCGUCUUCCACGCCUACGUCUCUAGGAACGUUAGUAGCACGGAGCGGGAGCGGGUGUGGGGGAGCGGAGGCACCUAGAAGCUCCUAAGGUUGGGAGCGCCUAAGGAGCGUAUAUAGAUUUCAUAUAAAUAUGUAUAUAAAGUAUCUUUAAAUACUUAACCAUUGAAGGAAAAUUGAUUACUUAUGUGAAUUUUCACGAUCUUAAAGGGUACUUAAAGGAAGUUAGAUAUUUUCAAUUUGCAAAACUUCUUGAGUGAUAAGAUUUUCGGUUGUGUUCGGUUCACAUUUUAGUUUAGUUUUUCAAUCAUUACCCUACUUCUUUCUCUAAUCAUUACCCUAUUUCUCUAAUUAUUACUUUAUCAUCUCUCUCUAUCUCUCUCCAAUCAUUACUCCUCUCUUCAAUCAUUACCCUAUUUCUCUCUCCACCCACUACCAAAACUAAACUAAAUUAAACUCCCAACCAAACAAAGCCGAACAUAUUUUUAUUUUCACAAUGGCAUAACUCCCUCAAGAGUAUGAAAAUAGUUGCCUUAACCGCCCAAUAAGCUCCCAUCUUAGUUGGGAGCGAGCUCCCAUCUCGAGGGGAGCGAGCUCCUGUCAAGCUUCCAUCUUGGGAGCGCUGAUUCGAGCUCCUGUCUUGGGAGCGCACCCAUUUUAGAAGGAUCUAAGCCAGGUACUACGACUCUUUCCUCUUCCUUUCUUCUUCUUCUCCCUCUUGUUCUCUUCUUCUUCCUCGGUCAACUGCACAAAGUUCACGUGUCCAGAUUUUUUCAGCCAGAUCCUGUACGAAUCUUGCACCCGUACCCAUGUCGGGUCGUGUCGACACAGGUACUCCACCAAAAAUGGCGAGUCUGCGUAACAUAGAGCAUAAUACAUCCAACUUCUAAAAGCACUCUAAGUCUGUCUCGCAAAAAUGCAAAAACCUUGUCUUCACCCUAACAACUUUUAAUGAACCGACUCUUCACUUAUCAAAAAAAGAGAAAUGACUUUUAUGAUGUGUGUGCCUCCAUCAUUUGGGCAGAAAAUGCGUGAAAUGCGUACGCCUCUAUAUGCUUCUGAUGGAUGGGCAAACGCCUUUGUGGCAUGGUUGUCAAAAUCAUACGAUUCAUGAUACGAUUCGCGAUUCACGCAAAAAUGAUACGAAUCUAUAGGUGAAUUUUUUUUAUAUAGAAUCGGGGGUGAAUCGUACAGUUCACGAUCCGAUUCGCGAUUCGAUUCACAAUUCAGGCGACAAGGAUACCAAUCUAUAAGUGAAUCUAGGUUUAUCACAAUUGUUGCGUUCGACUAAUAUGAAACCACAUUUGCAAUUGCUUUACUUUUUCUUAUAGGAAAGCAAGAAUAUAAAAUAAUAUACUGUCAAGUAUGGAAAUUCUUCUUCUCAUGCAAAAUUUGUUUAUAUUGGUACUUUUUUCUGAUUCAGAGCAUGUUAACCCUUUUUUCCUCAUUCUUCUUAAAGAUUAAAAUAGUCAUUCUAAAGAUGUUUACAACUAAGAUACCUUAUACUCAGUGGCGGAGCUAGGAUUUAAAGUUGGGGGCGGCACCAAGAAGAUCAAUAUACUAAAUAGCAGGAAAAAGUGCACAUAUCCUAAGAUUAAACAUCCAUAAAUAUCCUAAAAAAUACAUGUUUUCAUAGGUUAACCAUCCAUUAAUAAAUAACAAAAAUAGUUUAUAGUUCUAUGAAAGUUAACCGACAUUCUUAUAGUGAUAAAUCUCCUAAAUCUGUGGUUACUGUGGUAUGUAUGAUGAACAAAACCAUUGUAUGUGAAUUUUCAAGAAUAAAUAAUAAUGAUGCAUGUAUGAAAAUCCAAAUGUUUUUGAAUUCACUUUAGACGCCCAUUCACACUCACCAUCUAAGAAGCACGGAUACGGAUACAAUACGAUAUGGAUACUCGAAUACGUUAUUUUUCCUAAAAGAAGGAUACGAUAUGUUAGAGGAUACGUUGAAUAUAAAAGUAAAUAAAAAAUAUAUUAUAUAUAUAAUUUUUAAUUCCUAAAAUUUCAUUAAUGAUUAAAGUUUUCCAUUACACAAGUUCACCAUUUCACAUGCUAAGAGAUAUAUUUACAUAUAGUUUUAUUUAUAUAUAUGGCUGUAUCUAUAUAGUUAUAUAUAUAUAUAUAUAUAUAAAUAUAUACACAGAGAGAGAGAGAGAGAGAGAGAGAGAGAGAGAGAGAGAGAGAGAGAGAGAGAGUCCUAAUUGCAAUUUAACCUAUAUAUUUUAAGUAAUAACAUUUACCCUCGCCAUAUCCAAAAUGUCUCCGCACGUAUCCGAAACGUAUUGGGAUACCAAAAAAUAAUUCUAAUAGCAGGAUACUCUAAAAAAAUGUAUCGGACACGUAUCCGGAGCGCAUCCUUGAGUAUCGGAUACCAAUACAAUAUGUGAUACGAAGGCUAAAAUAGAGUAUCUGUGCUUCAUAGACUCACCAUAAUCCGUAACGAAACGUGUAGUAAAAAUACUAAACUUGUGGAAAAAAAUUAUGUGUGGUACAAAUACUAAACUUGCGGGGAAAAAAUUUAAUGUCAAAUGGGUCACGUUCCUCUCCAAUUAGGGGAAAAAAAUUCAAUUCUUGUUGAAACUUAUGAAAAAAUUGAGAGAGAGAGAGAGAGAGAGAGAGAGAGAGAGAGAGGGUUUUUGGAAAAAAAAAAGAGGAAAAUGAGAAUGAGGAGUUUUUUGGAAGGAAAAAAAAAAAAGGACAUGGUGCAAAUGGGAGUCGAACCCUGUGUAAAGGCACAAGUGAGCCUCAAGGCAUGCACGCUUUUGCCACUUAUUUGAAGCUUACUUUUUGUUCAAACAUCUUGACAUAACUGUAUUAUAGAGAUUUCGAUGUAAUUUUAUUUUAUUUGACAUCUUGACAUAACUGUAUUAUAGAGUUUUCGGUGUAAUUUUAUUUUGUUUUGUUAUGUUUGGAACUGGGGGUGACAUAUGCCACAUCCCCCCUCUACAUAUCUCUGCCCC